UACGUAGGGUGCAAGCGUUAAUCGGAAUUACUGGGCGUAAAGCGUACGCAGGCGGCUGGGUAAGACGGAUGUGAAAUCCCCGGGCCUAACCUGGGAACUGCAUUCGUGACUGCUCAGCUAGAGUCUGUCAGAGGGGGGUGGAAUUCCACGUGUAGCAGUGAAAUGCGUAGAGAUGUGGAGGAACACCGAUGGCGAAGGCAGCCCCCUGGGAUAAGACUGACGCUCAUGUACGAAAGCGUGGGGAGCAAAC
rnacentral:rRNA from 1 species